UCAGAACGAACGCUGGCGGCAUGCCUAACACAUGCAAGUCGAACGAAAUCCUUCGGGGUUUAGUGGCGCACGGGUGCGUAACGCGUGGGAAUCUGCCCUUGGGUUCGGGAUAACAGUUGGAAACGACUGCUAAUACCGGAUGAUGGCUUCGGCCCAAAGAUUUAUCGCCCAGGGAUGAGCCCGCGUAGGAUUAGCUAGUUGGUGGGGUAAAGGCCUACCAAGGCGACGAUCCUUAGCUGGUCUGAGAGGAUGAUCAGCCACACUGGGACUGAGACACGGCCCAGACUCCUACGGGAGGCAGCAGUGGGGAAUAUUGGACAAUGGGCGAAAGCCUGAUCCAGCAAUGCCGCGUGAGUGAUGAAGGCCUUAGGGUUGUAAAGCUCUUUUACCCGGGAAGAUAGUGACUUACCGGAG
rnacentral:rRNA from 1 species